GCCUUGGUAGUGUAGUCUGGCCUAUCAUGAAGCCCUGUCGAUGCAACAUUGUUGCAACAGAUAGGCUUCGACCCGGGUUCGAAUCCCGGCCAGGGCG
rnacentral:tRNA from 1 species